AACGAACGCUGGCGGCAUGCCUAGCACAUGCAAGUCGAACGAGACCUUCGGGUCUAGUGGCGCACGGGUGCGUCACGCGUGGGAACCUGCCCUUAGGUUCGGAAUAACUCCCCGAAAGGGGUGCUAAUACCGGAUAAUGUCUUCGGCCCAAAGAUUUAUCGCCUUUGGAUGGGCCCGCGUUGGAUUAGCUAGUUGGUAGGGUAAAAGCCUACCAAGGCGACGAUCCAUAGCUGGUCUGAGAGGAUGAUCAGCCACACUGGGACUGAGACACGGCCCAGACUCCUACGGGAGGCAGCAGUGGGGAAUAUUGGACAAUGGGCGAAAGCCUGAUCCAGCAAUGACGCGUGAGUGAUGAAGGCCUUAGGGUUGUAAAGCUCUUUUACCCGGGAUGAUAAUGACAGUACCGGGAGAAUAAGCUCCGGCUAACUCCGUG
rnacentral:rRNA from 1 species